rnacentral:rRNA from 1 species
AACCAUAAAAGGUGGCUUUGGUUACCACUUACAGACGGAUCCGCGGCGCAUUAGGUAGUUGGUGAGGUAACGGCUCACCAAGGCGACGAUGCGUAGCCGACCUGAGAGGGUGAUCGGCCACACUGGGACUGAGACACGGCCCAGACUCCUACGGGAGGCAGCAGUAGGGAAUCUUCCGCAAUGGACGAAAGUCUGACGGAGCAACGCCGCGUGAGUGAUGAAGGUUUUCGGAUCGUAAAGCUCUGUUGUUAGGGAAGAACAAGUACCGUUCGAAUAGGGCGGUACCUUGACGGUACCUAACCAGAAAGCCACGGCUAACUACGUGCCAGCAGCCGCGGUAAUACGUAGGUGGCAAGCGUUGUCCGGAAUUAUUGGGCGUAAAGGGCUCGCAGGCGGUUUCUUAAGUCUGAUGUGAAAGCCCCCGGCUCAACCGGGGAGGGUCAUUGGAAACUGGGGAACUUGAGUGCAGAAGAGGAGAGUGGAAUUCCACGUGUAGCGGUGAAAUGCGUAGAGAUGUGGAGGAACACCAGUGGCGAAGGCGACUCUCUGGUCUGUAACUGACGCUGAGGAGCGAAAGCGUGGGGAGCGAACAGGAUUAGAUACCCUGGUAGUCCACGCCGUAAACGAUGAGUGCUAAGUGUUAGGGGGUUUCCGCCCCUUAGUGCUGCAGCUAACGCAUUAAGCACUCCGCCUGGGAUACGCCCCCC